UUAUCUCUCCUCUUUGUAACCAUUAGUGAAAUUGAAGCAUGAAGGAAAAUAUAUAGUUUCAAGUACAAAAAAAGAUCUACCCCAUCAUUUCAUUUCCUUCUUCUUCUCCCUUUUUUGAUAAACAAUUUUCCCCUCUCUUUUUCUUAAUCCAUUUUCUUAUUAGGUCUUGAUAUGGAAAUCUUGAUUUAAGCCAUGGCCGACGAAGAACAAAUGCGCGAUAAAAUUUCUCAGCUACAUCGAAGAGUUCCUAAAGAGUAAAGACUGUUCUCAAACAUUGUCCGGGUCGGGUCGGGUAUCCAAAACGGGAUGAUAGCCUGCACUCACAGAUGACUCUGUUUUUUCCCGUUCCCAUAAAAUUCAUUUUUUAAAGUAUGAAUCUGUUCGGAUUAAAACAGUUUAAAUGUUCAACCACUUAAGUAGGAAAGAAACAACUUCUUGAAUUGUGAAUUUUGUCGAAAUCGACUCAAUCAGAGGAUAAAAUUACUGAAAGGGGGACCCAUGCUGCUCCUUUUUAAUGAAAUUGAAGUAGAGUUUGUUGAUAUUCACUGUUUUAGAUUGAUUUUUCAAAAUAAAUUUUUUUUCUUGAACAAAAAUGAUACUAAAAUUGAUCGAUUCUGAUCGAAUCAAUGUAGUUUUUGAUGUAAUUUGAACAUGUAAUUUUUCUUUCGUA